rnacentral:rRNA from 1 species
CAACUGCUACGUAGCUUGCAUUG